GGGCCCGUGGUCUAGCGGCUAUGACGCCACCUUGACAAGGUGGAGGUCACCGGUUCGAUUCCGGUCGGGCCCA
rnacentral:tRNA from 2 species